UGCAAGUCGAGCGAGAAAGCCCUUCGGGGUGAGUAGAGCGGCGCACGGGGCCGCACCCGUGGGAACAUACCCUUUGGUAAGGAAUAAUAGCUGGAAACGGCUACUAAUACCUUAUAAUGACUUCGGUCCAAAGAUUUAUCGCCAAAGGAUUGGCCCGCGCAUGAUUAGAUAGUUGGUGAGGUAAUGGCUCACCAAGUCUACGAUCAUUAGCUGGUCUGAGAGGACGAUCAGCCACACUGGAACUGAGACACGGUCCAGACUCCUACGGGAGGCAGCAGUGAGGAAUAUUGCACAAUGGGGGAAACCCUGAUGCAGCCAUGCCGCGUGUAUGAAGAAGGCCUUAGGGUUGUAAAGUACUUUCAAUAGUGAAGAUUAUGACGGUAGCUAUAGAAGAAGCCCCGGCUAAAUUCGUGCCAGCAGCCGCGGUAAUACGAAUGGGGCAAGCGUUGUUCGGAAUAACUGGGCUUAAAGCGUGCGCAGGCGGAUAUGAAAGUCAGAAGUGAAAUCCCAGUGCUCAGCCCUGGAACUGCUUUUGAAACUCGAUAUCUAGAAAUCCGGUAGAGGUCAAGAAAUUCCUAGUGUAGAGGUGAAAUUCGCAGAUAUUAGGAGGAAUACCAGUGGCGUAGGCGCUUGACUGGACCGGUAUUGACGCUCAUGUACGAAAGCGUGGGGAGCAAACAGGAUUAGAUACCCUGGUAGUCCACGCCGUAAACGAUGUAUGCUAGUUGUUGGAGUCUUAACUGCAGUGACGCAGAGAAAUCAUUAAGCAUGCCGCCUGGGGAGUACGGUCGCAAGAUUAAAACUCAAAGGAAUUGACGGGGACCCGCACAAGCGGUGGAGCAUGUGGUUUAAUUCGAGGCAACGCGAAGAACCUUACCAGCUCUUGCAUCCCGAUCGCGGUUCGUGGAGAUACUUUCCUUCAGCUUGGCUGGAUCGGUGACAGGUGGUGCACGGCUGUCGUCAGCUCGUGUCGUGAGAUGUUGGGUUAAGUCCCGCAACGAGCGCAACCCUCAUCCUUAGUUGCUAACAUUUAGUUGAGAACUCUAAGGAAACCGCCGGUGUUAAACCGGAGGAAGGUGGGGAUGACGUCAAGUCAUCAUGGCCCUUACGGGCUGGGCUACACACGUGCUACAAUGGCAGUGACAAUGGGUUAAUCCAUAAAAACUGUCUCAGUUCGGAUUGUCGGCUGCAACUCGCCGGCAUGAAGUUGGAAUCGCUAGUAAUCGUAGGUCAGCAUACUACGGUGAAUACGUUCCCGGGUCUUGUACACACCGCCCGUCACACCAUGGGAGUUGUUUCUACCUUAAGCUGGUGAGCCAAUCAGG
rnacentral:rRNA from 1 species